UUCACACUCAUGCAGAGAAGGUUCAGAGCAGUUGGAUUGCAGUUACCAGGUUGCUUGCAUUGGAAUACAGAAAUGGCUUGUGGAGUUCAUUUGGGGAUCUUGCUGAUUUGCUUAGUUCAAGCAGAGCAUGUGCGUUGUCUGUGGGCGACUCAAGCUCAGAGACCAAACAGCAACACGUAUGUUGGCUUCACAGAGCAGGGCAGUGGAUUUGAUGAAAGCGAUCCCCAGGAUCAAUUCAGACAGGCCUCUGGUUCUCCUGGCUCAGCCCAGAGCAGUAGCCUCAACACAGACCCUAUUGGCAGUGAUUCUAGCCAGAGAUUUCCCAAUAGUGGCUACACACAAACUCUUUUCCAGCCAGCUAACAGUGGCUAUGAUUCAGUAAAGUUGGUGCAAAGCAGCGCGCAGUCAAAACCUAACUGGCGAACAACUAAGUUGAAUUGGGAACAUUUACAAAAGAUGCCAAAAAAGCGCAUAUUUGGCCUUUCUGCUUCUAUUGCUGGUGGCAGGUCACUGAGUAAGUACGAUCAAACUCCGAUUAGCAAGAAGAGAA